rnacentral:pre_miRNA from 1 species
AGUGGGACAGCUGGGUCAAAUGGUUGUUCAUUCCAAGUUUUCUGAGGAUUCUCCAUAUUGCUUUGCAUAGUGGUUGCACCAGUUUGCAGUCCCACCAGCAAU